AGUGAACGCUGGCGGUAGGCCUAACACAUGCAAGUCGAACGGCAGCACAGUAAGAGCUUGCUCUUACGGGUGGCGAGUGGCGGACGGGUGAGGAAUGCAUCGGAAUCUACUUUUUCGUGGGGGAUAACGUAGGGAAACUUACGCUAAUACCGCAUACGACCUACGGGUGAAAGCAGGGGAUCUUCGGACCUUGCGCGAUUGAUUGAGCCGAUGUCGGAUUAGCUAGUUGGCGGGGUAAAGGCCCACCAAGGCGACGAUCCGUAGCUGGUCUGAGAGGAUGAUCAGCCACACUGGAACUGAGACACGGUCCAGACUCCUACGGGAGGCAGCAGUGGGGAAUAUUGGACAAUGGGCGCAAGCCUGAUCCAGCCAUACCGCGUGGGUGAAGAAGGCCUUCGGGUUGUAAAGCCCUUUUGUUGGGAAAGAAAAGCAGCAGGUUAAUACCCCGCUGUUCUGACGGUACCCAAAGAAUAAGCACCGGCUAACUUCGUG
rnacentral:rRNA from 1 species